UACGUAGGGGGCAAGCGUUGUCCGGAUUUAUUGGGCGUAAAGAGCGUGUAGGCGGCCAGUUAGGUCAGCUGUGAAAACUCGAGGCUCAACUUCGAGACGUCGGUUGAAACCGUCUGGCUAGAGUCCGGAAGAGGAGAGUGGAAUUCCCGGUGUAGCGGUGAAAUGCGCAGAUAUCGGGAAGAACACCCGUGGCGAAGGCGGCUCUCUGGGACGGUACUGACGCUGAGACGCGAAAGCGUGGGGAGCGAACAGG
rnacentral:rRNA from 1 species